UACGGAGGGUGCAAGCGUUAUUCGGAUUUAUUGGGCGUAAAGGGCACGUAGGCGGUUUAUCAAGUUGAGUGUGAAAUCUCUGGGCUUAACCUAGAGUCUGCACUCAAGACUGAUUAGCUAGAGGACAGUAGAGGGGAGUGGAAUUUCCGGUGUAGCGGUAAAAUGCGUAGAUAUCGGAAGGAACACCAGUGGCGAAGGCGACUCCCUGGACUGUAUCUGACGCUGAGGUGCGAAAGCGUGGGGAGCAAACAGGAUUAGAUACCCUUGUA
rnacentral:rRNA from 1 species